rnacentral:rRNA from 1 species
UGGGGAAUAUUGCACAAUGGGCGCAAGCCUGAUGCAGCCAUGCCGCGUGUGUGAAGAAGGCCUUCGGGUUGUAAAGCACUUUCAGCGAGGAGGAAGGUGGUGGACUUAAUACGUUCAUCAAUUGACGUUACUCGCAGAAGAAGCACCGGCUAACUCCGUGCCAGCAGCCGCGGUAAUACGGAGGGUGCAAGCGUUAAUCGGAAUUACUGGGCGUAAAGCGCACGCAGGCGGUUUGUUAAGUCAGAUGUGAAAUCCCCGGGCUCAACCUGGGAACUGCAUUUGAAACUGGCAAGCUAGAGUCUCGUAGAGGGGGGUAGAAUUCCAGGUGUAGCGGUGAAAUGCGUAGAGAUCUGGAGGAAUACCGGUGGCGAAGGCGGCCCCCUGGACGAAGACUGACGCUCAGGUGCGAAAAGCGUGGGGAGCAAAACAGGAUUAGAUACCCCUGGUAGUCCACGCUGUAAAACGAUGUCGAUUUUGGAGGUUGUGCCCUUGAGGCGUGGCUUCCGGAGCUAACGCGUUAAAUCGACCG